rfam:Xenopus laevis strain J chromosome 8L, whole genome shotgun sequence.
AUUGCUCCUCUGCCUUUUGGGUAAGAUCAAGUGUAAUAUCUGUUCUUAUCAGUUUAAGAUUGUGGAAGAUGUCAACCCCACUGAUGGAACAGAGCAUCACUUGAUCUUGUCCAAGAGCCUGCUGAUUUGGAGCCCAAGCAUUUUUGCUCUUUAGGAUUUGCACCCCUGGGGUGCCUGAGUUCAUUUGUU